rnacentral:sRNA from 1 species
AGGCGAAAGCCUGAACGAAUGCCAACUUUUAGCGCACGGCUCCUUGAGAGCCCUUUCCCUGGACCGAAUACCUGGAAUAGUGUUCGGUCUUUUUUU